rnacentral:lncRNA from 1 species
AGGAUGGUCAGUAAACGCUUAAAGACACACACGUCAAUUUAUAAGCUGCAACACAAAGGGAUUUAAACAGAGUUACUUACCUUACAUAUGUCCGAUAGAAGAUACGCAUGCGCAUUGAAAGUACUUCCACAUGAUCUUAAUUGUCUUUUGCAAGAUUUUCUCUUGAUCAGCUGAUAAUAAUAGAUUUAUAAUAUUUAUAACGCAUUUCUCAACAACCACACACACACAUAUAUAACAACACUAUCUGUUAUGAAACAUUUCCAACAUCGGAUGACAGAAGAAGCAUCCUCAAUAUCUACUAUGUUUUAAAGACUAAAGGAAAAUAUUAUACAAAUCAGAUGUAUAACAUUGUUUCUACAAAUCUGUCGUAGAAUUCCUGUGAAACAUUUGCUCUGAAUUAAUAUUAUUAGCCAAAUUUGUGAACAUUUCUGUCUGGAGUGUGAAGAAGAGAAGCUUGUGUGCUGAUCAAAGCUUAAUAAAUUUAUGGAAUUGUUGUGAAACAAAGGUAUCAAUGGACAGAAAUACAACAGCAGAAAUAUAUGUAAGGAGUAAAAUAUAAAAACAAAAGCAAGAAGAAUAUAUUAAGUGGGAUUUGAGAGGAAAAGUGAUGGAAAAGAGUGAGAAAAUUAUUUCCCUUGAAGACAU